rnacentral:rRNA from 1 species
AACGUAGGACGCGAGCGUUAUCCGGAGUUACUGGGCGUAAAGCGCGGGCAGGCGGUCUGACAAGUCUGAUGUGAAAUCUCCGGGCUUAACCGGGAGAGGCCAUUGGAAACUGACAGGCUGGAGGGCAGUAGAGGUAGGCGGAAUUCCGGGUGGAGUGGUGAAAUGCGUAGAGAUCCGGAGGAACACCAGAGGCGAAGGCGGCCUACUGGGCUGCACCUGACGCUGAGGCGCGAAAGCCAGGGGAGCAAACGGG